UACGUAGGUGGCAAGCGUUAUCCGGAUUCACUGGGUUUAAAGGGUGCGUAGGCGGACAGGUAAGUCAGUGGUGAAAUCUCUGGGCUUAACCCAGAAACUGCCGUUGAUACUAUUUGUCUUGAAUAUCCUGGAGGUAGGCGGAAUAUGUCAUGUAGCGGUGAAAUGCUUAGAUAUGACAUAGAACACCGAUAGCGAAGGCAGCUUACUACAGGAUGAUUGACGCUGAGGCACGAAAGCGUGGGGAGCAAACAGG
rnacentral:rRNA from 1 species